CGAGUGGCUAGCGCUGGGAGCACUCGAGAGGAGCACGAGCACCAGCAUGGCGGGGCUCCGACGCCCGCAGCCCAGCUGUUACUGCCGUAGUGCCGCGGCCGUGAACCUCCUUCUAGGCGUCUUCCAGGUCCUUCUUCCCUGCUGUCGCCCGGGAGGGGCUCAGGGACAAGCGAUUGAGCCCUUGCCGAAUGUGGUGGAGCUGUGGCAGGCAGAAGAAGGGGAACUCCUACUGCCCACUCAGGGUGAUUCUGAAGAGGAUAUGGAGGAGCAGUCUCAAGAACAGAGCUUCUCGGACAAACUAUUUAGCGGAAAAGGCUUGCAUUUUCAGCCCUCAGUUCUAGAUUUUGGAAUGCAGUUCCUGGGAUAUCCAGCAGCAAAGAUCCUCUAUGCUUACAACCCUAGUAGGGAUAGUGAGGUUGUGGUGAAUUCAGUGUUUACAGCUGCUAGACAUUUUCAUGUGCCUCCUGUUCAUUGCAGGGUAAUUCCAGCAAUGGGGAAAACAUCUUUCAGAAUUAUUUUCUUACCUACUGAAGAAGGAAGCAUUGAAAGUUCUUUAUUUAUUAAUACCUCCUCAUAUGGAGUUCUUUCUUAUCAUGUAUCUGGAAUUGGUACUCGCAGAAUAUCUACUGAAGAAUCUGCAAAGCCCCUACCCAAUGCUUUCUUCCUGCUUCCACAGGUGCAGAGCAUUCAACUUUCACAAACACAGGCAGAAACCACUAAUACUAGCCUUUUGAAGGUACAACUGGAAUGCAGUUUACAUAAUAAAGUGUGUCAGCAAUUAAAGAGUUGUUAUCUGGAAUCUGAUGAUGUUUUGCGGCUACAAAUGAGCAUAAUUGUAACAACGGACAGUUCCUCAAUAGAAUUUGAAGAGAACACACAAGAUUUAUUAGAUCAUCUUUCUAUUGUUUGUGUAGCUACAGAUAAAUCUGAGACCUCAGAUGAUUCUGCAGUAAAUAUGUAUAUAUUACAUUCAGGAAACAGCCUUAUAUGGAUACAGGAUGUACAUCAUUUCUCACAGAGAGAUGCUCUGUCUCUGAAGUUUGAACCAGUAUUGUUACCUACGUCUGCGACAAACUUUACAAAAAUUGCCUCUUUCACUUGUAAAGCUACAUCGUGUGGCAAUAGAAGUGAUUAUAUAGAAAAUGUAAAGAAAAAAAUCAGUCCAACACUAAAAACAUGCCUGUCCUCUCCUGUGGUUCAAGGGUAUUUUAGAAUGGAUUCUGCUGCAGCCCAGUUUUACAUAGAGACACACGAGAACGUAUCAGGAGUCUGGUCAAUGUGGUAUCUCAAUCAUUUUGACCGUAGUAUUGUAUUAAAUGAUGUGUUUGUUUCCAAGGAGACGAAGCACAUUUUAAAGAUUCUGAAUUUCACUGGCCCUUUAUUUCUACCUCCAGGCUGUUGGAAUAUAUUUUCUUUGAAACUUUCUGUUAAAGACAUUGCCAUAAAUAUAUUCACCAAUGUAUUUUUGACUACAAACAUAGGUGCCAUUUUUGCAAUACCUCUACAGAUAUACUCGGCAUCAACCAAGGAAGGGAGUCUGGGUUUUGAAGUGAUAGCACAUUGUGGCAUGCAUUAUUUCAUGGGAAAGUCAAAAGCAGAAAUCCCUAAUUGGCAAAGGAGCCUUUCUCUGGAUCGAUCUACCUGGGACGUGGAUUCCGAACUUGCGAAUAAAUUGUAUGAAAGAUGGAAGAAAUUUAAAAAUGGUGACGUCUGCAAGAGGAAUGUUCUAGGAAUGACUCGGUUUGCCCACUUGAAGAAAUCCAAGGAGUCAGAAUCCUUUGUCUUCUUUUUGCCUCGUUUGGUUGCAGAGCCUGGCCUUGUGUUAAACUUCAGCGCAACUGCCCUUAGGAACAGCGUGGUGCAAUACUUUAUGGUGAAGAACCCUUCCUCUCUGCCCGUCUCCCUGCAGCUCCUUCCUGUCUCCUUAUAUCCUAAACCUGAAGCUGCUGUGCGCCUGCUCCACAAAUGGUUUGGCACUGAUAUGCAGAUGAUAAACUUCACAACUGGUGAAUUCCAGCUCACCAAAGCGUGCCCUUAUGGGGGUGUGCAUUCUGAGGAAUCCAGGUUUGGCAUCCUCCACUUACAUUUGCAGCCUUUAGAGAUGAGAAGGGUUGGUGUAGUUUUCACACCAGCUGACUAUGGAAAAGUAACCUCACUCAUAUUAAUCAGGAAUAACUUGACCAUUAUUGACAUGGUUGUUGUGGAAGGAUUUGGAGCAAGAGAAUUAUUGAAAGUAGGCGGAAGACUUCCUGGCUCAGGAGGUUCUCUCCGGUUUAAGGUGCCAGAGUCCACGCUGAUGGACUGCCGUCGACAACUGAAAGACAGCAAGCAAAUUUUAUCUAUUACAAAGAACUUUAAAGUUGAGAACAUCGGACCUCUUCCUAUAACUGUGUCAUCUCUUAAAAUCAAUGGGUAUAAUUGCCAAGGUUAUGGAUUCGAAGUGCUAGAUUGUCAUCAGUUUUCCCUGGAUCCAAACACAUCCCGGGACAUCAGCAUUGUGUUUACUCCAGACUUCACCUCUUCCUGGGUCAUUCGGGAGCUGACUCUUGUAACUGGCACAGACCUGGAACUUCACUUCACUCUCAACGCGACCCUCCCUCAUCACCUGUUGCCCUUGUGUGCGGACGUGGUUCCAGGACCUAGCUGGGAGGGGUCAUUUUGGAGGCUCACAGUGUUCUUUGUCAGUUUGUCCCUGUUGGGUGUGAUUUUAAUAGCCUUUCAGCAAGCACAGUACAUUCUUAUGGAAUUCAUGAAAACAAGACAGAGGCAAAAUUCUAGCUCCUCUUCACAGCAAAACAGCACUCCAAUGGAUGUAAUCAGCCCCCAUUCUCCCAAAAGCAAUUGCAAGAACUUUCUCGAUGCCUAUGGCCCUUCUGAUAAAGGCAGGGGGAGAAGCUGCCUUCCAGUAAGCACUCCUCAAAGCAGGAUCCAGAAUGCUGCAAAGCGGAGCCCAGCAACCUAUGGCCAUUCUCAGAAGAAGCAUAAGUGUUCAGUAUAUUACAGCAAACACAAAAGCAGCUCAUCUCUCACCAGCAGUGCCAACACUACUACUGAGGAAAAACAGACUUCGACUCUGGGUAGCAGCGCCCUGUCUGCUCCUAAAGAGGACAGUUGCACUGAUGUGAUGGGUGAGAACUGGAUAAACCUCAAAUAUGCAAGUGGCAUAAAUGUCAACCUGCAAAAGAGCUUAACCUUUCCCAAAAACUUACUGAAUAAAGAAGAAAACACACUGAAAAACACAAUUGUUGUCAAUAAUACUUCUUCAGAGUGUAACAUGAAGGAGGGAAUACAGACAUGUAUGUUUCCUAAGGAAACUGACAUUAAAACUUCAGAAACUAUAGCUGAGCUCAAGGAGCCUGAGUUCUGUCCUCUGAAGACCUCUAAGAAACUACCUGAAAAUCAUUUGCCAAGAAAUUCACCUCAGUACCAGUCAGACUCGCCAGAAAUUUCCAGGAAAAAUAAUGGGAGUAACCAGCAAGUGCCUGUCAAGAAUGAAGCAGAUAAUUGUGAAACUUUGAAAAAGCACAGUGACACAAAGUCUUCCUCAGAGAAGAAGAUUCACAAAGCUUCUAAAGAAGACACAUGUCCUGAGAAACAUGAUAUACCUUCCACUGAGCAAGAAGAUCCUUAUAGGAAGAAGAAGGUUCAGGAGAAAAAAGAAGGAAAUUUACAAAAUUUAAAUUGGAAUAAAAAUCGAACAUGUAGAAAAAACAAGAGAAGGGGUCUUACUCAGGUCUCAAGGCCUUCUGAACAGAGUGAAUUAAAGCUUGUGUGCAGUGAAUUUGAGAGGUCUGAGCUGAAGAGUGGCAUGGAUAUAAGAAACUGGUGUAUACAGGAAAACACUGGGGAGAUUUGUAAAACAGAUACUGAAAUUGGAAGCUUACCUGCUGCACAGGGGGAGGCAGAGUGUUAUUACCGAAAGCCUGAGAAGAAGCGUGUGGAAAAGUUCUGCUCAGAUUCUAGCUCAGACUGUGGCAGCUCCUCAGGGAGUGUGCGCGCCAGCCGGGGCAGCUGGGGGAGCUGGAGCAGCACCAGCAGCUCCGAUGGGGACAAGAAGCCUGUCGUGGGCCCUCAGCACUUCCUUCCUGCUGGAGACAGUGUUUCACAAAAUGAUUUUCCUUCUGAAACUCCCAUCUCCUUCAGUCUUUCUCACAAUAUCUGCAAUCCCAUGUAAACGUGAAUACUCUCCCACAAUAUGCGGAAACUCCCUGUCCCAGCCUCUCUGACAUGCCUUCAGGUGUUGAUGAAGAUAAAGGUCUUUACCCACCCGGAGACCUGUGGCCCACCCAGCCAGUGUGUCUGACAAGCAGCUUAAACUGCAGUCUCGAGAACAGCGUGCCUUGUGUGCUGCGGGAACCUCCUCCGGUUCAUAAUAGUUUCAUUGAUUGGAACACAACUUGCGAAGGCCAAUUCCCCAAUGUGUACUGUCCACUGGAGUUGAAUGAUUACAAUGCCUUUCCAGAAGAAAACAUGAAUUUCCCUAAUGGCUUCCCCUGUCCUGCAGAAGUUCAGACGGACUUUAUUGAUCACAACUCUCAGUCUACCUGGAACACCCCAGCCAACAUACCUACUGCUUGGGGACAUCCAAGUUUCAUCCACUCACCGCCCUACCUCACAAGCACCCGAAGCUUAUCUCCAAUGUCUGGACUUUUUGGUUCCAUCUGGGCCCCACAAAACGAUGUGUAUGAAAAUUGCUGCCCCAUCAAUUCCACCACAGAACAUGCAACUCACAUGGAAAACCAGGCGGUCAUGUGCAAGGAAUACUACCCAGGGUUUGACCCGUUUCGUGCCUAUAUGAACUUGGACAUAUGGACUAGCACCGCAAAUAGGAAUGCCAACUUCCCACUGUCUAGAGACUCAAGUUACUGUGGGAAUGUGUGACCAGAAUAUGAUUUUUAAACAAUGUGAAUAAAGAUGCUUGUGUUUUGAUUACUAGUGUGUAAACUGGUUGAGAUAGAUUAUGACAUUGGUGGAUAUUUUGGCACUUUUAUAUGAAAAUAAAUUUUUU